GAAGACACGAAUAUUACUAGAGGGACCAGCGGAAAGGCGAAAGCCUUGCCAACUACAUCGCAGACCUCCGCAACCUUGGAGGCCUCUGCGGAUUCUCUGACUUAGAAGAAGCCCUCCGAGACCGCCUAGUCCUGGGCCUAGAAGACGGCACGAUCCAGAGCAAAAUCAUGGCUAAGGGGGACAUCAGCCUCACUGAUGCCCUUAAAGAAGCCACUGCAGCGGAGGCGACCAAAAAGUCGGCAGCCCGAAUGCGCCGCACCAGCGCACCGCAACGUCAACUCGCCAAAGAUACCUCGCCUCGCUCAGAGAGACACCCGGUAUCGACUCACCACGAAGACCUAGAAUCCCCAUCAGAAAGCGAUGAGGAAGAGGUCAACCGACUCCGAACGGAACGAGACCAGUUCACACAACACUCCUCUCGACCUUGUGCAGGAUGUGGAGCGAAUCACCCACGAUCCAGCUGCAAAUUCCUCGACGCACUCUGCCGCGUUUGCGGGAAAAGAGGUCACAUCGCAAAGGUUUGCAGAAGCAAACAAAACUCCAACUCCAAACCCCGACAGGCCGAAUGCCAGUCUUCAGAAUUCUUCGGCACACCCCGAAACAAACUGAAUCACCAAUGGGGAAGCCACUCUUACAGAAACAAACCGUCCACCACUUCCACCAGGCGGGAAGAGACCCACCAGACAAUUACCAUAGGCCACGCUACAUCCCUUGAUGCCGGGAAAAUCAGAGUGAAGGUCGCUAUCGAAAACAAACCUUGUGUAAUGGAGGUGGACUCAGGAUCAUCCAUCUCGAUGGUGUCCUGGAAGACGCUUCAACAGCUCAUUCCGACGAUCCGCCGCCAAGACCUCAACCCUCAAAGGGUUAUACUCAAAGAUUACCAGGGUAACCAAAUUCCCGUUGUCGGGUCCCGCCGAUUCCAGGUCUCUUUCAAGGACCGCACUGUCGCACUGCCACUGACUGUUGUGGACCGUGACCGGCCUAGUCUUUUAGGCCUUCAAUGGUUCAGACCGCUUGGAAUCACUGUAGCCGGAGUCCACCGCGCCGAGAGCAACGAUUGGGAGGAAGCCCUCGUGCAAGAAUUCCAAGACGUUUUCGAGAACGGACUAGGCAAGUACAAGGGGACCCCGAUCUCAUUUAACUUGAACCCUGAGGUAGCACCCAUCCGCCUUAAGCCGCGUCGGGUGCCGUUCGCCCUGAAACCUAAAAUCGAUGAACAACUCGAUAAGCUAAUAGAACAGGGCAUGCUGGAACCCACCGACCACGCCCGGUGGGAAACCCCAAUAGUGAUG
rnacentral:lncRNA from 1 species